AUGUCGUCUCCGAGCAAGCGCCGGGAGAUGGACCUCAUGAAGCUGAUGAUGAGCGACUACAAGGUCGAGACGGUGAACGACGGGAUGCAGGAGUUCCUCGUCGAAUUCCGCGGGCCUCAAGAAAGUCUCUACCAGGGAGGUGUAUGGAAGGUUCGGGUAGAACUGCCCGAUGCGUAUCCUUACAGGUCCCCCUCGAUUGGUUUCGUUAACAAGAUAUAUCACCCGAAUGUCGACGAACUGUCUGGCUCCGUCUGCUUGGACGUCAUUAACCAGACGUGGAGCCCAAUGUUUGAUCUUGUCAAUGUGUUUGAAGUCUUCCUUCCACAACUUUUAUUAUAUCCAAAUCCUUCUGAUCCAUUGAACGGAGAAGCUGCUGCACUCUUGAUGCGUGAUCGCCCUGCUUAUGAGCAAAAAGUGAAAGAAUUCUGCGAGAAAUAUGCCAAGCCAGAGGAUGCGGGUAUAGCCCCAGAAGAUAAUUCGAGCGACGAAGAGCUGAGCGAAGAAGACGACGAUGACUCCGGUGACGAUGAGCCCAUACUGGGCCAUGCAGACCCCUAG
rnacentral:rRNA from 1 species